rnacentral:rRNA from 1 species
UACAGAGGUCCCAAGCGUUGUUCGGAUUCAUUGGGCGUAAAGGGUGCGUAGGCGGCGCGGUAAGUCGGGUGUGAAAUCUCGGAGCUUAACUCCGAAACUGCAUUCGAUACUGCCGUGCUUGAGGACUGGAGAGGAGACUGGAAUUUACGGUGUAGCGGUGAAAUGCGUAGAUAUCGUAAGGAAGACCAGUGGCGAAGGCGGGUCUCUGGACAGUUCUGACGCUGAGGUGCGAAAGCGUGGGGAGCAAACAGG